GGAGAGGUGUCCGAGCGGUCUAAGGAGCGCGACUGGAAAUCGCGUAGGCGGGUUUCCCGCCUCGAGGGUUCAAAUCCCUCCCUCUCCG
rnacentral:tRNA from 1 species